GGGGUUGUCAUGGUUUCGACAGGAUUUCGUUUGAUUUAGAUUGCAGUGGCGUGGCUCCCUUAAGGCCAAACAAAACUUAACUGGAAACAAUAACAGUUUACAAUUCGCUGCUUAAUUAGCUUUUAGCUUUGCAGCCUGAUACUCAACGUUUUAGCCUUUGGGCAAUGAGUAUCACCUAACCAACAAAGGAUAAGGUCCAAGUCUGCUCUAGCUUGGUCUCGAAAAUCUCUGAGCACAUCAAGGGGUCGGUUGGUCACAUGUCCCAACCUUGAUUAACUACAUGUGACUAAACUGUAGAAGUCUAAAUGUGGAACAUUUCUUGGACGCGAGUUCGACUCUCGCCAACUCCACCA
rnacentral:tmRNA from 1 species